rnacentral:tRNA from 1 species
GAGGGUAUAGCUCAGUGGUAGAGCGCGUGCUUAGCAUGCACGAGGUCCUGGGUUCAAUCCCCAGUACCGCCA